GACGAACGCUAGCGAUAGGCUUAACACAUGUAAGUCGAGGGGCAGCACAUGAGUGGCAACACGAUGGUGGCGACCGGCGCACGGGUGAGUAACACGUAUGCAACCUGCCCAUAACUGGGGGAUAACCCGUCGAAAGGCGGACUAAUACCGCAUGACAACGAUGAUCCGCGUGGUGAUUCGUUUAAAGAUUUAUCGGUUAUGGAUGGGCAUGCGUUCCAUUAGGUAGUUGGCAGGGUAACGGCCUACCAAGCCUACGAUGGAUAGGGGUUCUGAGAGGAAGGUCCCCCACACGGGUACUGAGACACGGACCAAAUUCCUACGGGAGGCAGCAGUGGGGAAUAUUGGUCAAUGGGCGAGAGCCUGAACCAGCCAAAUCGCGUGAAGGAUGAAGGUAUUAUGUAUUGUAAACUUCUUUUGUCGGGGAAUAAAGUGCGGGACGUGUCCCGUUUUGUAUGUACCCGAAGAAUAAGGAUCGGCUAACUCCGUGCCAGCCGCCGCGGUAACAC
rnacentral:rRNA from 1 species